GCUCCAAUGGCCUAGUGGUUAGAGCGGCCGCCUCGGAUGAGGGAGGUUGUGGAUUCGAAUCCCGGUUGAAUCA